UGAGGAAUAUUGGUCAAUGGGCGCGCCCCUUGAACCAGCCAAGUAGCGUGAAGGAUGAAGGCCCUAUGGGUCGUAAACUUCUUUUAUAAGGGAAUAAAGUGAGGCACGUGUGCCUUUUUGUAUGUACCUUAUGAAUAAGGAUCGGCUAACUCCGUGCCAGCAGCCGCGGUAAUACGGAGGAUCCGAGCGUUAUCCGGAUUUAUUGGGUUUAAAGGGAGCGUAGGUGGAUAUAUAAGUCAGUUGUGAAAGUUUGCGGCUCAACCGUAAAAUUGCAGUUGAUACUGUAUGUCUUGAGUACAGUAGAGGUGGGCGGAAUUCGUGGUGUAGCGGUGAAAUGCUUAGAUNUCACGAAGAACUCCGAUUGCGAAGGCAGCUCACUGGCCUGUCACUGACACUGAGGCUCGAAAGUGUGGGUAUCAAACAGGAUUAGAUACCCUGGUAGUCCACACAGUAAACGAUGAAUACUCGCUGUUUGCGAUACACAGCAAGCGGCCAAGCGAAAGCAUUAAGUAUUCCACCUGGGGAGUACGCCGGCAACGGUGA
rnacentral:rRNA from 1 species